rnacentral:ncRNA from 1 species
UCUUUCUUUCCACAGCGUGGUAGGCGAUGAAAGUCGCCUUUAAUUUGGAACCGUGUGCAAAUCACGGGCUGUCGCGCAACUGUAAGUAACGCUACCUGUUACUGCCAAUCAUGUUCAUUGCUCUAACCUGAAUAGACGAGUGAGAAGAACGGCAGUAAUGUUACAAGCCAGGAUACUUGCCGUGCUGUGUAAGACAAA